rnacentral:misc_RNA from 1 species
AACGCACGAGACCUGCGGACCUGCGGAGGGAUCAUUACAAGUGACCCCGGUCUAACCACCGGGAUGUUCAUAACCCUUUGUUGUCCGACUCUGUUGCCUCCGGGGCGACCCUGCCUUCGGGCGGGGGCUCCGGGUGGACACUUCAAACUCUUGCGUAACUUUGCAGUCUGAGUAAAUUUAAUUAAUAAAUUAAAACUUUCAACAAUGGAUCUCU